UGAACGCUGGCGGUAGGCCUAACACAUGCAAGUCGAACGGCAGCACAGUAAGAGCUUGCUCUUACGGGUGGCGAGUGGCGGACGGGUGAGGAAUACAUCGGAAUCUACUUUUUCGUGGGGAUAACGUAGGGAAACUUACGCUAAUACCGCAUACGACCUACGGGUGAAAGCAGGGGAUCUUCGGACCUUGCGCGAUUGAAUGAGCCGAUGUCGGAUUAGCUAGUUGGCGGGGUAAAGGCCCACCAAGGCGACGAUCCGUAGCUGGUCUGAGAGGAUGAUCAGCCACACUGGAACUGAGACACGGUCCAGACUCCUACGGGAGGCAGCAGUGGGGAAUAUUGGACAAUGGGCGCAAGCCUGAUCCAGCCAUACCGCGUGGGUGAAGAAGGCCUUCGGGUUGUAAAGCCCUUUUGUUGGGAAAGAAAAGCAGCAGGUUAAUACCCCGCUGUUCUGACGGUACCCAAAGAAUAAGCACCGGCUAACUUCGUG
rnacentral:rRNA from 1 species